AAUUAAUCUACAUUUCCCCACUUAACCUAGAGGGCAGGAUAUGACCCCUCAAUCUCAAUAGGGGCUAGCCCACCACAAUUAAAAUAUUAAAAAGGUCACAUACUAGUCCAUUGCACAACAAAUCUGGACAUUUCAAUUACAAAACCAGGAAAACAUAAAAAUCCAUCUACUCACCAGUUGUCAGCUGUCCCAGAACUGAUGCUGAGUCACUUCGCUUCUGAAUAAAGCAGACCUCCUUUCUAGCAAUUGGUUUCGAUCUCUUUUACUUCUGCUAAGGCGACAUUUCUGCCGCUUGUUUCCUAACUGGAUGGACAAGCUUGGAAUUCAACUUCCAACAGAAUGCCAAGCCCAAAAUGUAUAAGUAGUUAUAAUGGUAUGCACUCCUAACUAAAUAGGUAAAAUGGUGGUGGUUUCCUUCUAACUUUUUCAUUUAGGAAAAUAAUAUUCUUUUUAAAGAAUAUGUUAAGAAUAUUAUUUUGCAAUAUUUUCUAAAAUCAAUAAUCAGGAGAAAGAAUAAUAUUGCUCUAAAUGUUGAGAAUACCAUAGAUGCUUGAAGUGUUAAGAAACAGACCUGGGAGAGCCAAAUUAAUAGUGCUAACCUAGCCUUACAUUAAAAUAUCUGGAAUUAUCAUUAAUAUAUACCCUUUGAAACCAGUAAUUGAUAAAAUCUAAUUUUAUGGUACAUUUGGGCAGUCCAUGUAUUUAAUCAAAGCAGAGUAUCACAUUUUCCAUUAGGACCAUAUUUUUUUUUCAGAUCAACUAACUAUAUAACUAUUAAUGAAAUGUCCAUGAAAAUUAAUCAUAAUCAAAUCUCACACGUAUAUUGUUAUGGGAUUAACACAAGAAUGUUCCUCCCACUCAGCCCUUUAUAAUGAGUUUAUAACAAUUUUGUCUUUCUAACUUGAUGAACUAAGAAUAUUAUACAAUAUAGAAAAAGCAAUAUUAUUCCAGCAAUAAAAAAAAUCAAUUUGCUAAUUAUUAGAUAUGCUCAUUUACUAACUUUUCUCAUUAAUCUUCUCUUAAUUUCCAUUAUCUUGGUUUACCUUUCAUCUCUUUCCCCAACAUUUGCACUCUUAACUGUUCAUUAUAGUACAAUUCAGUUCUGAUUAUUUUCUGAAAGCUGUCAAGGAGGGGACUAAUCUUUAAUGCAGAUGAUUUGAUAAUUUUUUCCUUCCCAUAUAUUUAAUGGGGCUGAAAAGAGUCCUAAAAAUCCUUAUCUCCUACUGUUCAAAUCAUCAUGAAAUCAUCAUGAAAUGAAGACAAUGGCUUUUGCGAGAAGGAUUCAAAUCUACACAUGGUUAAUGUUUGGUCCACUUAAUAGAUGAAGUUAAAAUCUUAAAUAUCUAGACUGUCUUUUUCCGCUAUAGGUUCCUGGCGAGCAAAUAUAGAAUGUGCCCUGAGUAGUUGGUCAGCCAAUCUUUUUUCUUUUUUUUUUUACACAGCAGAAGCCCUAUUGUACCAUUUGCUUACAAAUUGUCAGACAAUAGUUAUGACAAUUGGUUUAUGGUUUCCAAGUGUGCAUACAGUAUAUGGAUUUAAGAACAUGAAACUUACAAAGGAUGCUGUACAGGAUCGUGUAAGCUUCUGAUGGAGAUUGUGUUUGGCCUUGACUUUACUGUGCCUUUGGAACUGCUUCUUGCCUGGGAUCUUGUUUCUUGCCUUGAGGACAGCCCUUGUCUUGUGUCUGGACUCUACCUUGUGGAUUGGACUUGGAACCCUGGACCUUGCCCUUUUAAAUCCUUCAGAAGACUUCAAUAGUAUUUUGAUGUGUGAUUUUUCCCGCCUGCAAAACUGAAGGAGGAGAGCUGCUGCUGAUUUCAAUCAAACAUUAAGAAUGAAAUAACGUGGCAAAAAUAUAAGCCAAGUACUGGAAAGCAUUUUGAAAAAGAUGUCCUUUUCCUUCAGGUGGUUGACAUGUCAAGAUUGAACCACUUUGCUUCUUUCAAACCCUAUUCAACUUGCCAAUAAACUGGAGGGAGGAAAGAAUGGAAUGCCGAGAAAUUAUGCACAGAUCAUGAGAGCCUGGAAACCAUCACGAUCAUCGCUGCAUGUGCUUGAGAAGGAGGUGGACUGUUCCCAUAGCAAAAGGACAUUUCAUAAUCAGGACUAGGGAGAAAGGGAAGCUAUUGUUUAACUAGGUAAACAUUUGCACCGGAAAACCAAAGCUGAUUUUGAUUCUUCAGUACCAAAAUGAGAUAUCCAAUAAAGUUUUAUUUUUGGGAAUUCAAA